UACGGGGGGGGUAAGCGUUGUUCGGAAUUACUGGGCGUAAAGGGCUCGUAGGCGGCCAACUAAGUCAUACGUGAAAUCCCUCAGCUUAACUGGGGAACUGCGUGUGAUACUGGAUGGCUUGGAUUUGGGAGAGGGAUGCGGAAUUCCGGGUGUAGCGGUGGAAUGCGUAGAGAUCCGGAAGAACACCGGUGGCGAAGGCGGCCUGCUGGGACGUGGCUGACGCUGAGGCGCGACAGCGUGGGGAGCAAACAGG
rnacentral:rRNA from 1 species